UACAGAGGGGGCAAGCGUUGUUCGGAAUUACUGGGCGUAAAGGGCGCGUAGGCGGCCGACUAAGUCAGACGUGAAAUCCCCAGGCUCAACCUGGGAACUGCGUCUGAUACUGGAUGGCUUGAGGUUGGGAGAGGGAUGCGGAAUUCCAGGUGUAGCGGUGAAAUGCGUAGAUAUCUGGAGGAACACCGGUGGCGAAGGCGGCAUCCUGGACCAAUUCUGACACUGAGGAGCGAAAGCCAGGGGAGCAAACGGG
rnacentral:rRNA from 1 species